CCUACGGGUGGCAGCAGUGGGGGAUAUUGCACAAUGGGGGGAACUCUGAUGCAGCGACGCCGCGUGGGUGAAGAAGCGCCUCGGCGCGUAAAGCCCUGUCAGCAGGGAAGAAAAUGACGGUACCUGAAGAAGAAGCCCCGGCUAACUACGUGCCAGCAGCCGCGGUAAUACGUAGGGGGCAAGCGUUAUCCGGAUUUACUGGGUGUAAAGGGGGCGCAGACGGCGAGGGAAGCCAGGAGUGAAAGCCCGGGGCCCAACUCCGGGACUGCUCUUGGAACUGCGUGGCUAGAGUGCAGGAGGGGCAGGCGGAAUUCCUGGUGUAGCGGUGAAAUGCGUAGAUAUCAGGAGGAACACCGGUGGCGAAGGCGGCCUGCUGGACUGCAACUGACGUUGAGGCCCGAAAGCGUGGGGAGCAAACAGGAUUAGAUACCCUUGUAGUC
rnacentral:rRNA from 1 species